CCAUCAGGAGAAAGCCCAGAUGCUGGGAUGAGGCGGCGCCUGAAGGAACGCCGGGGACCCCCUGAUUUGCUCUUUUUUAAAAAAAUUUAUUAUUUUUGGCGGUGUUGGGUUGUUGCUGCACGUGGGCGUUCUCUAGUUGCGAGAAAGUAAUCUUUUGUCUAAAGAUGUAAUGAAGAUGACUUGAGUGAACAGAUAGAUAAUGGUGCCAUCAGCUGAAAUAGAAAAUGAGGAAGCAGGAGGAGGUAUUUGAGGAGAAUAUACAACUGCAAAUGGCCCGUGUUAUACUUCUGUUGGACAGCACCACCUGAGGCGUCAAACCUGUUUGUGAAGGGUGACAUCUGUGCCUCGUGCAUCUUUUUAUCCUCAGUGCCUAGAACAGUAGCGGGUGCAUAGUAGGCACUAGGCAAGUAUUUAUGAAUACAUGAAUGAAACCUAUGAGUGAAUGGAAUGAAUGAAUGAAUGACUCUCUAAAAGUAAUAAACUUCCCUCAGAAGGAUGUUCAUUACAUUGUAUCUUUGACAAUGUUGGAUGUAAAUGUGCAAAAAGACUCAGGCUCUAAGUCUUUUGCUUGAUUAGAGCUCCAAGGAACCCCUAAUGAUCUUUGACUCAGACCCCAGCUGUAAAGUGGAAGGAGGUGUGAAA